rnacentral:rRNA from 1 species
UACAGAGGUCCCAAGCGUUGUUCGGAUUUACUGGGCGUAAAGGGUGCGUAGGUGGCGAGGUAAGUUCGAUGUGAAAUCUCCGAGCUCAACUCGGAAAUGGCAUUGAAUACUAUCCCGCUUGAGGGUCGGAGGGGAGACUGGAAUUCUCGGUGUAGCAGUGAAAUGCGUAGAUAUCGAGAGGAACACCAGUGGCGAAGGCGAGUCUCUGGGCUAUAACUGACGCUCAUGCACGAAAGCGUGGGGAGCAAACAGG